rnacentral:rRNA from 1 species
CGUGCGGUUCUAUUUUGUUGGUUUCUAGAGUCGCCGUAAUGAUUAAUAGGGAUAGUUGGGGGCAUUAGUAUUCAGUUGCUAGAGGUGAAAUUCUUGGAUUUACUGAAGACUAACUUCUGCGAAAGCAUUUGCCAAGGAUGUUUUCAUUAAUCAAGAACGAAGGUUAGGGGAUCGAAAACGAUCAGAUACCGUCGUAGUCUUAACCAUAAACUAUGCCGACUAGGGAUCGGGCGGUGUUCAACUUAUGACCCGCUCGGCACCUUACGAGAAAUCAAAGUUUUUGGGUUCUGGGGGGAGUAUGGUCGCAAGGCUGAAACUUAAAGGAAUUGACGGAAGGGCACCACCAGAUGUGGAGCCUGCGGCUUAAUUUGACUCAACACGG